rfam:Zootermopsis nevadensis contig16664, whole genome shotgun sequence.
GCCACGGUGGUCUAGCGGUUAGAACGCUGACCUUGUAAUCCUGGGGUCCCAGGUUCGAUUCCCGGCUGUGCCC